AUUGAACGCUGGCGGCAUGCCUUACACAUGCAAGUCGAACGGCAGCACGGGUGCUUGCACCUGGUGGCGAGUGGCGAACGGGUGAGUAAUACAUCGGAACGUACCUUAUCGUGGGGGAUAACGCAGCGAAAGCUGUGCUAAUACCGCAUACGCCCUGAGGGGGAAAGCGGGGGAUCGAAAGACCUCGCGCGAUUAGAGCGGCCGAUGCCUGAUUAGCUUGUUGGUGGGGUAAAAGCCCACCAAGGCGACGAUCAGUAGCUGGUCUGAGAGGACGAUCAGCCACACGGGGACUGGGACACGGCCCAGACUCCUACGGGAGGCAGCAGUGGGGAAUUUUGGACAAUGGGGGCAACCCUGAUCCAGCAAGGCCGCGUGAGUGAAGAAGGCCUUCGGGUUGUAAAGCUCUUUUGUCAGGGAAGAAACACCGGCUCUAACACAGUCCGGGAAUGACGGUACCUGAAGAAUAAGCACCGGCUAACUACGUGCCAGCAGCCGCCGUAA
rnacentral:rRNA from 1 species